GAUUCUUGAAACAAAAUUAUUGGGAAGAGUAGGAAUGAGAUUCUGGGGUUUUGUUAGCAGAAAUUCUAGUUCGCAAUUUCGAUUGACUUUAAUUUUUGAUGGCCACCACUUUGAUCAAGAACAUAAAGACUAGGUUUUUUCAUGUUGAGGACAUCCAAAAGACAGUUUAAGGAGCUAAUAAAGUGCCAUAACGACACGGUUUCCAUUCGGUAAUUUGCGUUAGUCGUGUCUUCACUUUACAUUGUAGCGAUAACUUCCUGUUCGUGACUUGGUCUGCACUAGCAGUUUAGAGUACAUAUUUCCAGAUUAUGCUUUCAUUUGCUAAAUACCUGCUUGAUUCUUUAGUUAACCUCUGGGAAUCUCAUCUCGUAUUCUUGGGAAGUCCCUGAUUUGCUUGUGACUUGGGUUCAAUUACUUGCUAAUUACUUAAUUGGGUAUAUGAAGAAA
rnacentral:sRNA from 1 species